GUCAAAGUCAAAAUAGAACGUUAACCACACUUUAUUUUUCACUUUCCCCAUUGGAAUUUCAAAAUUUUCCGUGAAAAUUCAGUAAAACUAAGAAAAUGGUAUUAUCUGAGGGAGUAAAGCAACGUCUGUCUAUUGUAAUUGAGUUUGGAAAGACGGUUUUUCAUUAUGCCUUCAUCCCUACAGUUCUGUAUUUAGGUUUUAAAAAGGGAGCUGACCCCGGUAUGCCCGAGAUAUCCGUAACAAACUUGCUAUGGUGAAGAAUACGAAAACGAAUAAGUUAGGAACCUCAUUAGUAUGAAGAGAAGAGAGCCAGACCUUUGUAUUUUACGUUAUUAUUUAAUGCAAUAACCUUUAUUUAUAAAAAUAUACAACAUUUAACACUUA